rnacentral:tRNA from 1 species
CAGGGUGUAGCUCAGUUGGUAGAGUACCUCCUUUGGAGCGAGGAAGCCGUUGGUUCGAGUCCAACCACUCUGA